GAUGAACGCUGGCUCCAGGCUUAACACAUGCAAGUCGAGGGGAAACGACGGGGAAGCUUGCUUCCCCGGGCGUCGACCGGCGCACGGGUGAGUAACGCGUAUCCAACCUGCCUCUGACUGAGGGAUAACCCGUCGAAAGUCGGCCUAAUACCUCAUGGCAUCGUCUGCGGGCAUCCAACGACGAUUAAAGAUUUCAUCGGUCAGAGAUGGGGAUGCGUCUGAUUAGCUUGUUGGCGGGGUAACGGCCCACCAAGGCGACGAUCAGUAGGGGUUCUGAGAGGAAGGUCCCCCACAUUGGAACUGAGACACGGUCCAAACUCCUACGGGAGGCAGCAGUGAGGAAUAUUGGUCAAUGGGCGAGAGCCUGAACCAGCCAAGUAGCGUGCAGGAGGACGGCCCUAUGGGUUGUAAACUGCUUUUAUGCGGGGAUAAAGUGAGGGACGUGUCCUUCAUUGCAGGUACCGCAUGAAUAAGGACCGGCUAAUUCCGUG
rnacentral:rRNA from 1 species